GUGGGGAAUAUUGGACAAUGGGGGCAACCCUGAUCCAGCAAUGCCGCGUGAGUGAUGAAGGCCUUAGGGUUGUAAAGCUCUUUCGGCGGGGACGAUGAUGACGGUACCCGCAGAAGAAGCCCCGGCUAACUUCGUGCCAGCAGCCGCGGUAAUACGAAGGGGGCGAGCGUUGUUCGGAAUUACUGGGCGUAAAGGGCGCGCAGGCGGCCCUUGAAGUCAGGCGUGAAAGCCCCGGGCUCAACCUGGGAGGUGCGCUUGAUACUCGAGGGCUGGAGUACGGGAGAGGAGAGUGGAAUUCCCAGUGUAGAGGUGAAAUUCGUAGAUAUUGGGAAGAACACCGGUGGCGAAGGCGGCUCUCUGGACCGUAACUGACGCUGAGGCGCGAAAGCGUGGGGAGCAAACAGGAUUAGAUACCCCUGUAGUCC
rnacentral:rRNA from 1 species